GGACGAACGCUGGCGGCGUGCUUAACACAUGCAAGUCGAGCGGUAAGGCCCUUUCGGGGGGUACACGAGCGGCGAACGGGUGAGUAACACGUGGGUGACCUGCCCUCAGCUCUGGGAUAAGCCUGGGAAACCGGGUCUAAUACCGGAUAUGACUCCAUGACGCAUGUUGUGGGGGUGGAAAGCCUUGUGCGGCUGAGGAUGGGCCCGCGGCCUAUCAGCUUGUUGGUGGGGUGAUGGCCUACCAAGGCGACGACGGGUAGCCGGCCUGAGAGGGCGACCGGCCACACUGGGACUGAGACACGGCCCA
rnacentral:rRNA from 1 species